rnacentral:rRNA from 1 species
GAUGAACGCUAGCUACAGGCUUAACACAUGCAAGUCGCGGGGCAGCAUGGGGGUUGCUUGCAAUCCCCGAUGGCGACCGGCGCACGGGUGAGUAACGCGUAUUCAACCUGCCCUUCACCACGGGAUAACCCGGCGAAAGUCGGACUAAUACCGUAUGUUGUCCAUUGACGGCAUCCGAUUUGGACGAAAGGCUUGGCGGUGAGGGAUGGGGAUGCGUCCGAUUAGCCAGACGGCGGGGUAACGGCCCACCGUGGCUACGAUCGGUAGGGGUUCUGAGAGGAAGGUCCCCCACACUGGAACUGAGACACGGUCCAGACUCCUACGGGAGGCAGCAGUGCGGAAUAUUGGUCAAUGGGCGUAAGCCUGAUCCAGCCAAGUAGCGUGCAGGAUGACGGCCCUAUGGGUUGUAAACUGCUUUUAUGCGGGGAUAAAGUGGCCCACGUGUGGGCUUUUGCAGGUACCGCAUGAAUAAGGACCGGCUAAUUCCGUG